rnacentral:rRNA from 1 species
CGAACGGGUGAGUAACACGUGAGCAACCUGCCCCAGGCUUUGGGAUAACCCCGGGAAACCGGGGCUAAUACCGAAUAUGACCUCCGAUCGCAUGGUUGGUGGUGGAAAGUUUUUCGGCUUGGGAUGGGCUCGCGGCCUAUCAGCUUGUUGGUGGGGUGAUGGCCUACCAAGGCGACGACGGGUAGCCGGCCUGAGAGGGCGACCGGCCACACUGGGACUGAGACACGGCCCAGACUCCUACGGGAGGCAGCAGUGGGGAAUAUUGCACAAUGGGCGGAAGCCUGAUGCAGCGACGCCGCGUGAGGGAUGACGGCCUUCGGGUUGUAAACCUCUUUCAGCAGGGACGAAGCGUAAGUGACGGUACCUGCAGAAGAAGCGCCGGCCAACUACGUGCCAGCAGCCGCGGUAAGACGUAGGGCGCGAGCGUUGUCCGGAUUUAUUGGGCGUAAAGAGCUCGUAGGCGGCUUGUCGCGUCGACUGUGAAAACCCGCAGCUCAACUGCGGGCCUGCAGUCGAUACGGGCAGGCUAGAGUUCGGUAGGGGAGACUGGAAUUCCUGGUGUAGCGGUGAAAUGCGCAGAUAUCAGGAGGAACACCGGUGGCGAAGGCGGGUCUCUGGG